UACGAAGGGGGCUAGCGUUGUUCGGAAUUACUGGGCGUAAAGCGCACGUAGGCGGAUCUGUAAGUUGGGGGUGAAAUCCCAGGGCUCAACCCUGGAACUGCCUUCAAGACUGCAGGUCUCGAGGUCAGGAGAGGCGAGUGGAAUACCGAGUGUAGAGGUGAAAUUCGUAGAUAUUCGGAAGAACACCAGUGGCGAAGGCGACUCGCUGGACAAGUAUUGACGCUGAGGUGCGAAAGCGUGGGGAGCAAACAGG
rnacentral:rRNA from 1 species